GAUGAACGCUGGCGGCGUGCCUAAUACAUGCAAGUCGAGCGAACGGUCCAGAAGCUUGGUCCUCUGGUGGUAGCGGCGGACGGGUGCGUAACACGUGGACAACAUACCUGUAAGACAGGGCUAACAUCGGCAAACCAGAGCUAAUGCCGAAUGAUAUUUUGCACCGCAUUGAUCAAAAGUAAAAGACGGUCUUGCGGUCACUUAUAGAUGACUCCGCGCUGCAUUAUCUAGGUGGUAAAGUAACGGCUUACCAAGGCAACGAUGCAUAGCCGACCUGAAAGGGCGAUUGCCCACCCUGGCACUGAGAAACGGUCGAGACUCCGACGGUAGGAAGCAGUAGGGACUCUUCCGCAAGGGGGCAAAGCCGGACGGAGCAACGUCGGGUGAGGGAUGAAGGUGCUCGGCUCGGAAAACUCUGUUAUCAGGGAAGAACAUAUGCGUAAGUAACUGGGCACAUCUUGACGGUACCUAAUCAGAAAGCCACGGCUAACUACGUG
rnacentral:rRNA from 1 species